rnacentral:rRNA from 1 species
UACGACUACAUAUCAGGCAUAUCAAUAAGCGGAGGAAAAGAAACUAACUAGGAUUCCCUUAGUAACGGCGAGUGAAGCGGGAAGAGCUCAAAUUUGAAAUCUUCAAGGUUUUACCUUGACGAAUUGUAGUUUAAAGAAGUGUUUUCUGUUGGUGUUUUGGUAAAAGUUCUUUGGAAUAGGACAUCAUAGAGGGUGAGAAUCCCGUAUUUGACCAUUACUUCCAGCGUUGUGAUACACUUUCAAAGAGUCGGAUUGUUUGGGAAUGCAGUCCAAAAUGGGUGGUAAAUUUCAUCUAAAGCUAAAUAUUGGCGAGAGACCGAUAGCGAACAAGUACCGUGAGGGAAAGAUGAAAAGAACUUUGAAAAGAGAGUUAAACAGUACGUGAAAUUGUCAAAAGGGAAGCGUUUGACACCAGUGUUGUUUCGUCGAAAAUCAAUUAAAAAGAGUUGGAUUUUGUAUUGUUAAGACCUUAUCAGCUUACUGUACUUUUUUCUUGCUCUUUUUAAUGCACUUUUCGUUUAACAAGUCAACAUCAAUUUCUUUUGUUGUAAAAGGGUCAUUGGAAGGUGGCUCUCACUUCGGUGAAAGUGUUUAUAGCCUUUGGCUUCUACAAUCGGAGAGAUUGAGGUCUGCAGCGUAGAUCCUUCGGGGUUAGAUACGUAGAUGCUAAGUUAUAGUUUUUUAUAGACAACUUGUUGACUAUGAUUAAUCAUGUAGCUUACUCGUUUACGCUAUUUUACCUACGCUUAGGAUGUUGAAUCUGUGCGAGACUA